rnacentral:rRNA from 2 species
UACGUAGGGGGCAAGCGUUGUCCGGAUUUAUUGGGCGUAAAGAGCGUGUAGGCGGCCAGAUAAGUCUGCUGUGAAAACUCGAGGCUCAACCUCGAGCUGUCGGCGGAAACUAUUUGGCUAGAGUCCGGAAGAGGAAAGCGGAAUUCCUGGUGUAGCGGUGAAAUGCGCAGAUAUCAGGAAGAACACCCGUGGCGAAGGCGGCUUUCUGGGACGGUACUGACGCUGAGACGCGAAAGCGUGGGGAGCGAACAGG